CCUAACUAAAGCUAAAGCAAUAUGUUUUUUUAUCUUUCCACUAUGGCAACUCACGCUUCAUCUCUCUCUGGAUAGUGCAUGUCUUAUUCAUUUAUGAUUGAGCAACGUACAAAUGGUCUAUAUAAAGAACAUUGCACAUCCACACAAUUAAAAUAUUUCAAACCCUUUUUCCAUGGCUUCAUACUUGAAUCACUUCAGCUUAUUGCGAACCAUCUCCCUUUUGUACUUUUUAGUCACACUCAUUUGCAGUGGAUCAUCUCUAAGCCAUGAUGAGGAAUGCUCAGCCUUGUAUCUGUUCAAGCAAAGCUUAAUUCAUCAAGAUGAUGAGUUUUGCACUGCUAGUUGGUUUCAAACGUUCCAAUCUUGGAAGCCCAGAACCAGAAGCAAUGCAUCGGAUGCUGGUUUUGAUUGUUGUUCGUGGUAUGGGGUGGAGUGCAGAAAUGACCAUGAGAAUGGUCAUGUGAUUGGCCUUGACUUGAGCGAAUGCUCUCUUUGCGGGCAUAUCAACUCUAACAGCACUCUCUUCAGCCUUGUUCAUCUUCAGAGGCUCAACCUUGCCAUGAACGACUUUGAUGAAUCUCACAUCCCAUCUGAGAUAGCUCAUCUAAAGCAAUUAAGAAGCCUCAAUCUCUCUUAUUCUGGGUUUAGUGGCCAAAUCCCGAAUGAAAUCUCACAGUUGAUGCAAUUGUCUUCCUUAGAUCUGUCGAUGAAUCCACUAAAGUUUCAAAGUCCUGGCGACUUCAAGAAUCUAAUGCAAAACUUAACAGGACUCGAAGAACUCGAUCUCUCAUGGGUUGACAUUAGUUCUUCCGUACCUCAUUUCUUGGCCAACUUUUCUUCUUUGAGGUCAAUUGGGCUGUAUAAUUGUUUGCUUCAGAAUGAAUUCCCAAAAGCCAUACUUGAGAUGCCAAAGUUAGAAAUACUUGAUGUGGCAUCAAAUACUAACCUCAUUGGUUCCAUUCCUGAAUUUCAUAACAGCAGCUUGAUUAAAUUGGGCCUUUCAGGUUGCUCUUUCUCAGGUACCAUUCCAGGUUCACUCUCUAACUUGACGCAACUCACUGGCUUGACUCUUGGUGGCAAUAAGUUGAGAGGAUUUGUUCCAUCAUUGGCAAGUCUUUCAAAACUCAGUAUUUUAAAACUUAGUGGAUGCAAAUUCAAAAAGGGACGCUUUCCCAAUUGGCUCGGCAAUCUGACUAAACUUAAUAAACUGUAUCUAGAUGGUAUGAACAUAAAAGGUGAAAUACCACCCUUUCUUGCUAACCUAACCGAGCUUGGUGUGGUCGCGAUGGGAAGAAAUUUUCUUACCGGUCAUAUACCAUCCUGGUUUUUCAAUCUCACCCAACUAUCAUUUAUAGACCUUCAACAAAAUCAACUGCAAGGACCAAUUUCAAAUUCAUUUUCCAAAUUCAAAAGGCUUCAAUUUGUUAGCUUAUUCUCGAAUAAUUUCCAAGGGAGGGUAGACAUAGACAUCUUCCUACAACUCAACCAACUUGAAACUCUCAGGUUAGGAGAUAACAGGAUAUCAUUACUUGCCCCCAACAACUACACCAAUAACACAUUACCACAACUAAUCGAAUUGAACCUCGAAUCAUGCAACUUGAAGGAAUUUCCUUCCUUUUUGCGCUUCCAAGAUAAAUUGAUAGACUUACGUCUCAAAGACAACACAAUUGAUGGCCUGAUACCAGUGUGGAUCUGGAACAACAGCAAAGAAACAUUACAGAAGAUUGAUCUUUCAUACAACUCCAUCACUGGCUUUUAUCAGCAUCCUCGUUUUCUCCCAUGGAGAUCUUUACAACUAUUUUUCAUCAGUCAUAAUCAGGUGCGAGGACAGUUACCAAUUCCACCACAAACCACAAUCGCUUAUGGAGCCGAAAAUAACAAUCUGACUGGAGAAAUACCACCAAUGAUAUGUGAAAUGAAAUCUCUUCAAAUGUUAGAUUUAUUUUCUAACAACCUAAGUGGAACACUUCCUCUGUGUUUGGGUAGCUUAAGCAAUUCGUUGUCGUUUUUGGAUCUGAGCAGAAACAACUUUCAUGGCAAAAUUAUGAAUUCAUUUAUGCAUGGAUGCAUGUUGGAAAGCUUUGAUUUGAGUGAAAAUACAUUUACGGGUCAGCUCCCAAGAUCAUUGACAAAUUGUACCAAUUUAAAGGUUCUCUCCCUUGGAGCUAACUCUUUUGAUGAUGUCUUUCCUUUUUGGAUGGGAACUCUUGCGGAAUUGCAAGUUCUUGAUUUGCGGUCUAACAAACUUUAUGGUCCAAUAAACGGUUCCACAGCUGUUUCCACACACUUCUCUAAGCUGCGGAUCAUAGACCUCUCUAACAAUGGUUUUAGUGGUCAAUUGGACCAAAAGUACUUCCAAGCUUGGAAUGCAAUGAAAUCUGUUGGCAAAUCAUCUGUUAUGCAAGCCAAUGACAAAUCAUCUGGUUUCACUUGGGAUUAUACAAUAAGAGUAAUUCACAAAGCUGUCAAUACUCAGUACGAACAUAUCUUAACCAUAGAUAUGGCUAUUGAUCUCUCUUGUAACCAUUUUGAAGGAGAAAUCCCACUAUCACUCCAAGAUCUUCAAGGGCUUCAAUCACUCAAUCUUUCCAACAAUCAUUUUACAGGACGCGUAUUGCCCUCACUAGAAUCUCUAAAGAAUGUCGAAGCUUUGGAUCUCUCCCAAAAUAAGUUAUCUGGAGAAAUUCCUCAACAGUUGGUGCAACUCAACUUCCUUUCAAUUUUCAAUGUGUCAUUCAACAAUCUUGAGGGGCGCAUACCCCAGGGAAAGCAGUUCAACACAUUCGACAACAGCUCCUACAUGGGGAAUUCUCGAUUGUGUGGACAGCCUUUAUCCAUGGAAUGUCAAAUGUCAAAGGCGUCAAGACUUCCACCAACAACCAAUAUGUCCGAAUCUCUCUUCCCAAUCGAAAGAAUUGAUUGGAUUAUCAUACUCUGUGGAGUUGGAAGUGGGCUGGUUUUUGGGAUUUUUUUUGGAAACUUUCUAUAUGGAAGGUAUAGUGAUCGGUUCAUAAAGAGGAAGGACAGAUGGGUAAGGCCACUUCGUAACACAAGGAGAAACCAAGGACUAUCAUAGCUUCAAGUUCGAAGGACAAUGAGAAGAUGUAGAGGGUCAAGGGAUUUUAGUCUGCACACUGUUAAGUUCUUCGAAUGCACGUCAUGGAUGAACCAGAUGUCCAGAAGGAAUGUUAGUGAACAUUGCAAGUCACAUGAGAACAUUAUCGGUCCCUUCAAUGGGAAUGGUUUCACUAUUCGGAAUGGUCAGACUAAUGCCAUCUUUGUUUUAUUUAAUGGAUUUCAACCAAUUUUUAUGGUGGUUAUAUAUUCACUAGCCCCCGAGUCUAUAAUCCAUGAAUUUCUAGGAUUAUUUAUGUUGAUCAAAUUUUCUUGAGGAGCAUAAAGUAUCUUACCAUCCAUAUUAGCCUUUGAGGCAUGUUCUUGUGGUUUCAUCGAUUGGGUCAUUUGAACAAGAUUGUUAUAUUCCUCCUUUGUAAUGUUGGUAUUGCUUUGCUGGUUCACUUUGGACAUAUUUGCAGCCCUUAGUUGUAGUUUCUUCCCAGUUGACCUUUUGUGUUGAUAGAUAUCAUAUUCCACCUUGUGUUGAUAGAUAUCAUAUUCCACCAUUCUGGAUAAAAUGCUAUUUGGAAACAGCCAUCCAUAGUAUGGCUCCCCUUUCGACAGUGGUUGUCUUUCGUCGUCCCUUUUUUUGUAAUCAUCUCUUCUAUUGUUUAGAGUAUUGGUCUUUUGUUGUUGUCGGUUAAA